UCUUAUGGGUGAGCAAAGAAAGUGUUUUCUUGAGAUAGAAUCUGCCUCUGGCGAAGAUGCUGUGAA
rnacentral:pre_miRNA from 1 species